rnacentral:rRNA from 1 species
GACGAACGCUGGCGGCGUGCCUAAUACAUGCAAGUUGAGCGCUGAAGGUUGGUACUUGUACCAACUGGAUGAGCAGCGAACGGGUGAGUAACGCGUGGGGAAUCUGCCUUUGAGCGGGGGACAAUAGUUGGAAACGAAUGCUAAUACCGCAUAAAAACUUUAAACACAAGUUUUAAGUUUGAAAGAUGCAAUUGCAUCACUCAAAGAUGAUCCCGCGUUGUAUUAGCUAGUUGGUGAGGUAAAGGCCCACCAAGGCGAUGAUACAUAGCCGACCUGAGAGGGUGAUCGGCCACAUUGGGACUGAGACACGGCCCAAACUCCUACGGUAGGCAGCAGUAGGGAAUCUUCGGCAAUGGACGAAAGUCUGACCGAGCAACGCCGCGUGAGUGAAGAAGGUUUUCGGAUCGUAAAACUCUGUUGGUAGAGAAGAACGUUGGUGAGAGUGGAAAGCUCAUCAAGUGACGGUAACGACCCAGAAAGGGACGGCUAACUACGU